rnacentral:rRNA from 1 species
UGGGGAAUAUUGGACAAUGGGCGAAAGCCUGAUCCAGCCAUGCCGCGUGUGUGAAGAAGGUCUUCGGAUUGUAAAGCACUUUAAGUUGGGAGGAAGGGCAGUAAGCGAAUACCUUGCUGUUUUGACGUUACCGACAGAAUAAGCACCGGCUAAGUCUGUGCCAGCAGCAGCGGUAAUACAGAGGGUGCAAGCGUUAAUCGGAAUUACUGGGCGUAAAGCGCGCGUAGGUGGUUCGUUAAGUUGAAUGUGAAAGCCCCGGGCUCAACCUGAGAACUGCAUCUAAAACUGGCGAGCUAGAUUAGGGCAGAGCGUGGUUGAAUUUCCUGUGUAGCGGUGAAAUGCGUAGAUAUAGGAAGGAACACCAGUGGCUAAGGCGACCACCUGGGCUCAUACUGACACUGAGGUGCGAAAGCGUGGGGUGCAAACAGG